CCAAAAUAAUUUUUUUUUUCAAUUUUUGGUAACCUAUCUUCAGCGACUAAAAUUUAGUCGCGGAUGUGUUCAAAUUUUUCUGGGAAAUAUUUCAUAUUGGCGCCUAAAUUUUUCCGCAAAUCUAUUACUUCUUCACACGGUUCUGUCUCUCUCUUGCUGUCCCUCUGUCUCUCGCUCAGCCGCUUGUCGAGGCUCAGAUACCGUUCAAGAUCCACAUCGUGAAGGACCACGACAUGAAAGAGAGGCUGUGCUUGAAAGUCGAGAGGCUAGGGCUGAGUGCAGUGAUUAUGGGGAGCUGAGGGUUUGGUGCGAUCAAGAGAGGUAACAAUGGAAGGCUCGGGAGUGUUAGCAAUUAUUGUGUUCGUCACUGUGUUUGUCCUGUGGUGGUUGUGAGGUAUCCGGAUGAGAAGGAUGGUGGUAAUGCGCCUCAAGUGUCUGUGGCGUCUGCGGCGGAGGAUGAGGACGAUACGGAGUUCCAUGAUGCCUCCGAUGAUCGCAAAGACUGAUACAUCCCUGGCUAUAGAGGCUAUAUUCAUGAAAAGAUGGGAAUUUGAUAGUAUAGAACAAGCUGCAAAAUGCAUAUCUUCAUGGUUUUCAGGAACACACCAUGAACAGCUUCUCUUGAAAGGAUAUUUGGAAUCUGCCAUAGGGCUUUUUUGAGGAGGUUACACCUUUACAAUAUUGAAAGAAUGGAUAAUGCAUCACUUUGUGCAUCAUUGUCAGUCUGCCCUUGUUUUCUUGAUCUUGAGAUUGUUGGCUUGGCACUAUGUUCCCCAGCUUGCAGAACAAAUUUUGCACAAUAAUAAGAAUGCUCCAAAGGAUGACUAUAUAAACCUCAAAGGUUUUAUUGUGAGUGAUGUCCCAACUUGUACUUACUAUUUUCAUUUUGGCUAAUUAGCUUUUCAUUUUCUUUUGGAUAAAACUUGAUUGCUAAGAGCUUCUCUGCUCUAGGAUCUUUAAUCUGUCAUUAAUAGAAUUAAAAGGUUGACUGCUUUCAUUUUCA